GGGCAAUUUACAUGCAGUCGAACGGUAACGCGUGGGAGAGCUUGCUUCUCUCCGGCGACGAGUGGCGAACGGGUGAGCAUACAUCGGAACGUGUCCGCUCGUGGGGGACAACCAGCCCCAUGGAUGGCUAAUACCGCAUGAGUUCUACGGAAGAAAGAGGGGGACCCGCAAGGGCCUCUCGCGAGCGGAGCGGCCCCUGACUGAUUAGCCGGUUGGUGAGGUAACGGCUCACCAAAGCAACGAUCAGUAGCUGGUCUGAGAGGACGACCAGCCACACUGGGACUGAGACACGGCCCAGACUCCUACGGGAGGCAGCAGUGGGGAAUUUUGGACAAUGGGCGCAAGCCUGAUCCAGCUAUUCCGCGUGUGGGAUGAAGGCCCUCGGGUUGUAAACCACUUUUGUAGAGAACGAAAAGACACCUUCGAAUAAAGGGUGUUGCUGACGGUACUCUAAGAAUAAGCACCGGCUAACUACGUGCCAGCAGCCGCGGUAAUACGUAGGGUGCGAGCGUUAAUCGGAAUUACUGGGCGUAAAGGGUGCGCAGGCGGUUGAGUAAGACAGAUGUGAAAUCCCCGAGCUUAACUCGGGAAUGGCAUAUGUGACUGCUCGACUAGAGUGUGUCAGAGGGAGGUGGAAUUCCACGUGUAGCAGUGAAAUGCGUAGAUAUGUGGAAGAACACCGAUGGCGAAGGCAGCCUCCUGGGACAUAACUGACGCUCAGGCACGAAAGCGUGGGGAGCAAACAGGAUU
rnacentral:rRNA from 1 species